rnacentral:tRNA from 2 species
GGGCCUAUAGCUCAGCUGGUUAGAGCACUUGACUCAUAAUCAAGGGGUCCCUGGUUCGAGCCCAGGUGGGCCCACAA